rnacentral:ribozyme from 1 species
CAUCAUCAUUAUCAUCAUUCUUGCACCAUCCUCAUGGUUUACCAAAACGCACCAUCAUCUACCACCACAAUCACCACCGAUCCGAGGGAUGGGUUCCUUCUUUUGCUGGUCUUGUUGUGUCAUGGCGUUGCUCGCACUCUCUUCAACAGGAAGACACAAGUCUAACAACUACUUGGUGUUAUUUGUCUCAAGAAGAAAAUGCUGCUGAUGUGGCGAAAGCAUCCCUGAUUUCCUCCUUUUCCAUGAUCCACGCGGAAUUGGGACACGGCAGCAAUUUGUGGGAUCCAUUGGCUUACUGCAGCGUGUUAUCCCGGGAUGAGGACAGGAAAGGUGACAGUAC